rnacentral:rRNA from 1 species
AAUCCAUAGGUUAAUGAGGCGAACCGGGGGAACUGAAACAUCUAAGUACCCCGAGGAAAAGAAAUCAACCGAGAUUCCCCCAGUAGCGGCGAGCGAACGGGGAGGAGCCCAGAGCCUGAAUCAGCAUGUGUGUUAGUGGAAGCGUCUGGAAAGGCGCGCGAUACAGGGUGACAGCCCCGUACACAAAAGCGCAUGUGCUGUGAGCUCGAUGAGUAGGGCGGGACACGUGGUAUCCUGUCUGAAUAUGGGGGGACCAUCCUCCAAGGCUAAAUACUCCUGACUGACCGAUAGUGAACCAGUACCGUGAGGGAAAGGCGAAAAGAACCCCGGCGAGGGGAGUGAAAAAGAACCUGAAACCGUGUACGUACAAGCAGUGGGAGCCCCACCACCAAAGCAUUUGCUGUACCGCGUUGACGGAGCGAAGCGACGUCAAACCGAUAAAACAGCAGUGUAAAGUGAGCCGCAGGGCGCUUUGCGCGACAGCGCAAAGGCAGGCGGUUUCGCGUAGCGAAAGCGAAUGCUUUGGGGUGGGGUGACUGCGUACCUUUUGUAUAAUGGGUCAGCGACUUAUAUUCUGUAGCAAGGUUAACCGAAUAGGGGAGCCGGAGGGAAACCGAGUCUUAAUUGGGCGUUAAGUUGCAGGGUAUAGACCCGAAACCCGGUGAUCUAGCCAUGGGCAGGUUGAAGGUUGGGUAACACUAACUGGAGGACCGAACCGACUAAUGUUGAAAAAUUAGCGGAUGACCUGUGGCUGGGGGUGAAAGGCCAAUCAAACCGGGAGAUAGCUGGUUCUCCCCGAAAGCUAUUUAGGUAGCGCCUCGUGAAUUCAUCUCCGGGGGUAGAGCACUGUUUCGGCUAGGGGGCCAUCCCGGCUUACCAACCCGAUGCAAACUGCGAAUACCGGAGAAUGUUAUCACGGGAGACACACGGCGGGUGCUAACGUCCGUCGUGAAGAGGGAAACAACCCAGACCGCCAGCUAAGGUCCCAAAGUCAUGGUUAAGUGGGAAACGAUGUGGGAAGGCCCAGACAGCCAGGAUGUUGGCUUAGAAGCAGCCAUCAUUUAAAGAAAGCGUAAUAGCUCACUGGUCGAGUCGGCCUGCGCGGAAGAUGUAACGGGGCUAAACCAUGCACCGAAGCUGCGGCAGCG